GAUCCUGGCUCAGGAUGAACGCUAGCGACAGGCUUAACACAUGCAAGUCGAGGGGCAUCAUGAGGUAGCAAUACCUUGAUGGCGACCGGCGCACGGGUGAGUAACGCGUAUGCAACCUGCCCGAUGCCGGGGUAUAGCCCAUGGAAACGGGGAUUAACACCCCAUAGUACUUUUAUCCUGCAUGGGAUGUGAGUUAAAUGUUCAAGGUAUCGGAUGGGCAUGCGUCCUAUUAG
rnacentral:rRNA from 1 species